CCUACGGGAGGCAGCAGUGGGGAAUAUUGCACAAUGGGGGAAACCCUGAUGCAGCGACGCCGCGUGAGUGAGGAAGGAUGUCGGAAUGUAAAGCUCUAUCAGCAGGGAAGAAAAUGACGGUACCUGACGAAGAAGCACCGGCUAACUACGUGCCAGCAGCAGCGGUAAGACGUAGGGGGCAAGCGUUAUCCGGAUUUACUGGGUGUAAAGGGAGCGUAGACGGGUACUCAAGUCAGAAGUGAAAACCCAGGGCUCAACCUUGGGACUGCUUUUGAAACUGAGUAGCUAGAGUGCAGGAGAGGUAAGCGGCAUUCCUGUUGUAGCGGUUCACUGCGUCGAUCUUAGGCGG
rnacentral:rRNA from 1 species